GAAAUGCGAUAAGUAGUGUGAAUUGCAGAAUUCAGUGAAUCAUCGAAUCUUUGAACGCACAUUGCGCCCCUUGGUAUUCCAUGGGGCAUGCCUGUUCGAGCGUCAUUUGUAACCUCAAGCUCUGCUUGGUGUUGGGUGUUUGUCCCCGUCUCCGCGCGUGGACUCGCCCCAAAGUGAUUGGCAGCCGGCGUACUGGUCCCGGAGCGCAGCACAUGUCGCGCAAACGAGUGCCUUGGUACGGCGGCGUCCAUAAGCCCCUCUCUCACGCUCUUGACCUCGGAUCAGGUAGGGAUACCCGCUGAACUUAAGC
rnacentral:misc_RNA from 1 species